rnacentral:rRNA from 1 species
AGUCGAACGAGAGGACAAGAGAAGCUUGCUUCUUUUGGAAUCGAGUGGCAAACGGGUGAGUAACACGUAAACAACCUGCCUUCAGGAUGGGGACAACAGACGGAAACGACUGCUAAUACCGAAUACGCUUGGAAGACCGCAUGAUCUUCCAAGGAAAGGGUGGCCUCUACCUGUAAGCUAUCGCCUGAAGAGGGGUUUGCGUCUGAUUAGGCAGUUGGUGAGGUAACGGCCCACCAAACCUACGAUCAGUAACCGGUCUGAGAGGAUGAACGGCCACACUGGAACUGAGACACGGUCCAGACUCCUACGGGAGGCAGCAGUGGGGAAUCUUCCGCAAUGGGCGAAAGCCUGACGGAGCAACGCCGCGUGAGUGAUGACGGCCUUCGGGUUGUAAAGCUCUGUGAUCGGGGACGAACGGUCCGUAAGCUAAUACCUUAUGGAAGUGACGGUACCCGAAUAGCAAGCCACGGCUAACUACGUGCCAGCAGCCGCGGUAAUACGUAGGUGGCAAGCGUUGUCCGGAAUUAUUGGGCGUAAAGCGCGCGCAGGCGGCUUUCUAAGUCCAUCUUAAAAGUGCGGGG